rnacentral:lncRNA from 1 species
GUGUAAAUGAACAGAGUAAAAGAACAGAUAAAUAUAUUGAGUUCAUAUUUUUUAAGCAAAACUCAAGAAUAUUUUGGUGAUAGUAAUCAUCUUUUAUGCUUGUAUUCUUUUUUCAUCAGCAUACCACUAAAACAGAAUAAUUAACCAAAAAUCGCAUUUAUGUAACAAAACAUGUAUAUAAGAAAUGUUCUAUGUAGUAAUAUCUAUAAGCACAAUGAAAAGAUUCCCUUCACUUCAACACAGACAUGUACUAGAAGAAAUGCCUCUUUAUCCAUUUUAUGUUGGCAAGAACUUUCCUUAGAAAAAAAUGAACUGAAAACAAGACUUCCUUUUUUCUACCUCUCUUUUGAAAAUCUUUUAUUAUUUAUGUAUUGUUUUUAUUUUGGUGCUGGGGAUUGAACUCAUGACCUUGAGCUUGGUAAACCCAAUCUAAUUUAAACCAGACAAAGUACUAUUUUCCAGAUGCUCAAGUGAUAUAUGGACAUGGAAGAAAAUAUUUGUGUUCCCUGUAAGAGAAGGCAUGCAAGUCCAAAAAGAAAGAAAGUACAUUUCUCAGCUAUAAACUUUUGAGAGUGCACAGCAGUGGUGCUUACUCUCCUGCUUAAGACACCUCAAAUAGAUGAUUUGAUGGUAAGUUCUGUACAACAUUUAAAAAUAUGUAUGUCUCUAACCACCAACUCUAGUAUACUAAUUAUUCUUGCAGAUAUUUGCAUGUUUUAUGUUUCAUCAUGUUCCUGUCAAUUAUCUUUUGGCUGUUGGCAAAAAGUAAUUUGUGAAAGUUUAUAAUGUAUUAUAAAGUAUUUUACGCAGAAUGGCAAGCCUUUGUUCAUUGCAAACAUUUUCAUAGUGUCAUUAUGACCCUAAAAGACUGCAUGCAUGUGAAACUCACAAAUGUUAUAACUUUGAUAUUUUAAUUUAUUUAUUUUGUUUUGUGAAACUUGUAACCAUAGAAAGAGUUCAUACUUUGGGGACAAUGAGUAUUCCUGUUCACAUUCACCACCACCAGGGCUCAGACCCACUAAAGAUAGCGUUAGUCCCCUGAGAACAAGACAGGAAAGGAGCAUUAUGGAAGUAGCAGGCAGCACAUGCAGCCUUGGCACCUUCUGUUUGCUGCACCCUUGGCCCUGAUAACCAAAUUCCUGCACUGCCUGGAUGCUGUGAAUGAAUGCCCUGCUCUCUCUGGUUAAAUGAACAGGAAAAGAGUAUGGCAUAACUACAGGAAAGUGAAUUCGAACAGUGGAAUCAGAAAUUUUUGCAUGGAAGCUUUAGGCAGUUUUUUUAAUGUAGUCUACCCAAAGUGGUGACAAAUUGGAAAAGCAUAAUGAGUUUGAGGCUUUGGAAAGUGUGCAAGUUACUAGUGAACUCUAUUGUCCGCUCUCUUGAAAAAUAAGUUAAUGAAUGAUCUGCAGAAAUUUCAUGGCUUUUCAACAAGUCUUGUUAGGAAGAUGGUUAACUGAUGAAGAUGACACCAAGUUAUCCUUCAGAAUUUGAUGAACUAGUGAGUCAAGCAUAUAAGAAAUAAGUAAAAUCUACUGAGGAAUGGAAGUAUGCCUCCUAAAUAGACUAUUGUGAAGUAAUGUCAAAAUCUAAAGAAGAAAAAAUGUGGAACCAUGUUCUCAUUUCGGAGUUCUCAGAAGUUCCCUCUUGUAAGUAGGUAACACAUAGUGGAUUUGUAUUUAAAGAAAUUUUUUAGCCCUGAUUUUGCUAUAUUAUGAGAAAUUUUUUCUCAUUAUGCACACUUAUGUACUGUAUAUUCUUUGUUUUGAAAGUGUGUAUAUUAACAAUAAACUGCUCUAUGUGCUCAAUUGUUUUUUACACAAUCAGUCUAUCUAUAGGGAGAUUAUAUAUGGCUGGGACACCAGCUAAAGUUUUUUUUUUUUUUACUGGGCAUUAAGGGGACCUGUGUGCUAGACCUCCAAGAUUUGCAGGUCCUGGGCACACAGGCCUCCGUGGAAGUAUGAAAGUCAAGCAUCCUGCUGAAAGCAGAGCUUCUCUCCCCUUUGCCCCCAUGGACACAGCCCGAAAUGUGCAGGCUUCUGAACCAUCAGCCCUACUUCCCCCAAUUAGCCUCUUGCCCUUGGACAACUGGCCUCCCAGACCCCACACCUGUUCUUGUCUGUGUCAUCGAUGUGACUUCGCCACGCUAGGAAACGUUUUCCUUGACCUAACUCACCAGGGUGGAAUUUGCUAACCUAGUUCCCAAAGUGGAAGGCAACAAAUUUCUUCCAGGUGGAGUUCAACAAAAGGUGUUAGAAACUCUCUCUCUCCAUGGGGGGCUUUCCUAUGCCUCCAACUCAAUCCUUGAAAUUACAGAUUAGCCUACCUAAUUGCUCCAAGGCGGGAGCUCCAAGAUUAGGUAUCCAUCAACCGUAAAAAAGUUGGUUGUAAGCAACUCUGAUUAACGUAACCACAUAAGUUACGCGGGGCAAAAUCUCACGAUAGAAUCCACCCGGCCAGCCGUGAUUGGCUCCUGGAAAGUUUACCACCUGUACUACAG